AAAAACUUAGUUAAAAAAUAAUAUUAGCUUGUCAUGCUAAAGUAACUUUAAAUAAAGUAGUUUUUA
rnacentral:tRNA from 1 species